rnacentral:rRNA from 1 species
AGAGUUUGAUCCUGGCUCAGGAUGAACGCUAGCUACAGGCUUAACACAUGCAAGUCGAGGGGCAGCAUAUCGAAGCUUGCUUUGAUAGAUGGCGACCGGCGCACGGUGAGUAACGCGUAUCCAACUUCCCCUUAGUAGGGCAUAGCCCGUAGAAAUGCGGAUUAAUACCCUAUGUUGUAUUAUGAGGACAUCUGAAAGAUACCAAAGGUUUACCGCUAAGGGAUGGGGAUGCGUCUGAUUAGGUUGUUGGCGGGGUAACGGCCACCAAGCCUGCGAUCAGUAGGGGUUCUGAGAGGAAGGUCCCCCACAUUGGAACUGAGACACGGUCCAAACUCCUACGGGAGGCAGCAGUGAGGAAUAUUGGUCAAUGGGCGAGAGCCUGAACCAGCCAAGUAGCCGUGCAGGAUGACGGCCCUAUGGGUUGUAAACUGCUUUUAUACAGGGAUAAAGUCGGGGACGUGUCCCCGUUUGUAGGUACUGUAUGAAUAAGGACCGGCUAAUUCCGUGCCAGCAGCCGC